rnacentral:lncRNA from 1 species
ACAGUGAGAACCAUCGCUCUGAGGUCAGAAAGCUCCCACUUUUGACAACAAUGAUCCGGCCUAUGGUUCCCAAAAAGCUGGGAUUAGACUACUCUGAAGGCAGAAAUUCCAAGAACCUGCUGUGAUCAUUCAUUCAGUGAGGUUAGACCCAGAUAUGCAUUGUGCCUAAGGCAUAGACAGAACAAAAUUGAUUUGACUCAGCAGAAGAGUAUCACAUUGCAGAAGGUUGGAAUUGAAAAUCACUCAGAAUCCAGCUUCUGUUUCUUUUCUUCAGGCUGGU